CCGGCACGGGUGAGUAACACGUAUGCAAUCCACCUGUAACAGGGGGAUAACCCGGAGAAAUCCGGACUAAUACCCCAUAAUAUGGGCGCUCCGCAUGGAGAGCCCAUUAAAGAGAGCAAUUUUGGUUACAGACGAGCAUGCGCUCCAUUAGCCAGUUGGCGGGGUAACGGCCCACCAAGGCGACGAUGGAUAGGGGUUCUGAGAGGAAGGUCCCCCACAUUGGAACUGAGACACGGUCCAA
rnacentral:rRNA from 1 species